rnacentral:rRNA from 1 species
UACGAAGGGGGCUAGCGUUGUUCGGAAUUACUGGGCGUAAAGCGCGCGUAGGCGGCUUUGUAAGUUAGAGGUGAAAGCCCGGGGCUCAACCCCGGAACUGCCUUUAAGACUGCAUCGCUUGAAUCCAGGAGAGGUGAGUGGAAUUCCGAGUGUAGAGGUGAAAUUCGUAGAUAUUCGGAAGAACACCAGUGGCGAAGGCGGCUCACUGGCCUUGUAUUGACGCUGAGGUGCGAAAGCGUGGGGAGCAAACAGG